CUUGAGAGAAGGACACUCCGCAGCGCUUAUAUAGAACCACUCCCGUCCCAGUAACAUGCGGGUCCCAGAACCACGGCCUAAACAUGCUCCCCCGGUACCUGCACCUCAUCUCUCAUCAGAACAAGUGAGAAGGCAGAGCCAAGGGUGGAAAGCAGGAGCGUACUCAGCACAACUUAAGGUCCAGCGAUUUUGCCUGGGGCAGCAGCCAGCCUCCCAUCCCUGCACACAGCACCACGGAGGCUGGAGAGCCUGCUGCCCCGGGAUACUGUCCACAGUGUCUGCACCAAGCCGAGGUUGAAGAUGCUUUCCAAGGCCCUCCUGGAUUCUAAUUCUCAUUGGCUGAAGGUAGGGAGCUGGAGCAGGAUGCAGGAACCUCACGGGAGUGAACAGAGGGUGUGUUUGGGGCUCAUUACCAUCCUGCUAUUUGAUGUGACAGACUUUUUGCUUGAGCAAACAGACUUCCAAACCUUUUCUUGGGCCCCCUCUGUGCUCUUCCUUGUAAAAUCUAGUUUUAGUGAGUCCCGCAUCCUUCACAUCUGAACCCCCUUAAUAUCUAGUCAUCCCACACCAUCACCCCAGGGAGAUGUCCAAACCACCCUGCCCUUUCUCCAUCAAGAAUCCUAAGUCAGUUUAGCCAAACCCCUCUGACCCCUAAAGCUUCCCCUUAGGAAGUUCCCAUCCACUGACCCCCUCCCUGCUCCUUAGCUAUAAAUCCCCAGGUGGCCAUACAAAAACCAGUUGGGAAAGGGUCAGGAAGAGUAUAUGCCACGUGUCUGCUUCUAUUAAGACCUUCACUUGGAAAUCCUCCCCCCCCCCCCCCCACCUCCAUGACCUCAAUUCUAAAACCUUCCCCCGUGACAGCAAUCCAUCUUUCCUGCUCAGGACUUUCCUGCUCAGCAUCUGACUGAUGCUGGUCAGAUGUAGGAGGAUGAGAAUAAUUACUCUUUUAAAAAUUUUUUAUUUAAUUUUUGGUUGCACUGGGUCUUUGUUUCUACUCUUAGGCUUUCGUGGAGGUGAGCAUGGGCUGCUCUCUAGCUUCCUGGCGCACAGGCUUCUCAGGGAAGUGGUUUCUCUUGUUGCAGAGCAUGGGUUAUAGGGUGAGAGCUCAGUAGUUGGGGAGCACAGGCUUAGUUUCCCUGUGGUAUGUGGUAUCUUAGUUCCCAGGGACUGAACCCGUCUCCCCUGCACUGGCAGACGGAUUCUUAACCACGGGAACACCAGAGAAGUCCACCUCA
rnacentral:lncRNA from 1 species